AUGGCGAGAUACUGGUGUAGUUGUUCCCUUGACCGUCGAUCUCUGCAUUGGCUUGACUGGGAGACACUUGCAACCCCGAAAGUGAAGGGAGGGAUGGGAUUUAGAGACCUGCAGCUCUUCAACCUAUCUCUCCUCGGAAAUCAUGGAUGGAGACUUAUCACGAGUCCGAAUUCGCUUUGUGCGUGAGUGCUCAAAGGUAAGUACUUCCCGAAUACCGACUUCCUGGGCGCUAGAGCGCAACCGCACGCUUCGGCUACCUGGCGAGCUAUUCUGGCAGGCAGGGAAGCAUUGGAGGCUGGUUUGAUCAAGAGAAUUGGUGAUGGUAUGACGGUCUCGAUCUGA
rnacentral:rRNA from 1 species